UAGUGAUAUAUUUUUGAAUAUUGAAUUAGCUUUGUUAUAAAAUUCUAUACACACAUAUUGAGACAUACAUACAUAAAAUGAAUUUGAAUUUGCAAUACCAUAAGUUGUUGACUUUAAAAACAGAUUUUCAAUAACUUUUUUAGGGUAAUUGAUGAACUGGAUUUAGUUUGAGAAUCUGUAGCUAUUUAUACCAGACUGAAAAUUCAUUUGAAAUAAGGCAAAGAAAUAUUGUAUUAAGAUCAGUUAUGUGUACUGUAUGUGUGUCCUCCAAGUCAACCUAUGUUGCCUCAUCAUGGUGGGUGUGUAGUUUCUGGGAGAAUGAGCUAUGAACACCAGGCCUUUACAACAGUACAAUAUAGUUACAUCAUCUGGGAUGUGAAGGUCAUCCUAGGUACCCUUUUAAAGCAGACAGGGAUUUAUAUAUGGAAGCAGUCACAUAAGAAAAAGAGGAAAUGGAUGAUUGCUUUAGCAACAACUGCAAAUAUAUCAUUUCAUACUGCAUGGGAAAAGGCAAUGGUAAGGCAUUCCUGUAACCAUGAAAGCCACCUGGAUAGACAGAAUAAAGUGAUUGAUGAUAUAAUGCCAGGUGAUGGGCCUCAUGGACCAAGUGCCACUUAAAUAAAUGAUAGCAAAUAUGAUAUUAAGAAUAGCUGAGGGUUUUUAAGUACUACUAAUGGUUUGAUGACAUGGCUAGAUGGAAACCACGUCUAGUUCUGGGCAUCUAGUUGCGGCAAAGUUGCAAUGUAGCAAAAUAAAACCUGAAGCUGAAAACAGAAUUACAGGGGGAACCUAGAAGAUAAUAAACAUGGGUAUGGAACAUCUCUACACAGUGAAGUCAUACAAUGAAUCAUCUACACAGUGAUAUCUCAUGUACUAAUGAAUUGAAAUAUCUGGAAUUGAGUAGUUUUGUGUUUGUUUUUACUAAGGAAAUUUAAAAAAACAAAAAAAUGGCAUUUCUUUCAUAGGAUUCUAGCAAAGAUGGGGUUGAGUCUAGUCAGUGACAAAAUGUCUUACGCUUCUGGGACAGCCUUACUUCAAUAAUUGAUACAGUAUCAAGGUUAACAAAUUUUAUGAUCAAGUUCAAUCUGAAAUGAACAGAAUGUGGAAACAAAAUAUGCUGCUUGUGGUUGAAUGGAAUGUCAUAGUUGGAAAAGGAGGAAAACAAUGUUCCCCUAGGAAACGAAAAUGAAGCAGAAGAAUUUCAUUUUUGACAAUCCAAUAAUUUUUUUAUUGUUAACACAUUCUUCAAACAACCAAAACUGCUACACAUUUGGACA